rnacentral:rRNA from 1 species
UAUUUUGGAAGAGAUGCAUUUAUUAGAUAAAAAACCAAUACAUACUUUUUCAAGUAUGAAAUUUGGUGAUUUACAAUAACUUAGCAAAUCGCAUAGUGAAAACAAGCGAUAAAUCAUUCAAGUUUCUGACCUAUCAGCUUUCGACGGUAUGGUAUUGGCUUACCGUGGCAGUGACGGUUAACGGGGGAUUAGGGUUCGAUUCCGGAGAGGGAGCCUGAGAAACGGCUACCACAUCUAAGGAAGGCAGCAGGCGCGCAAAUUACCCAAUUCUAACAGCAUAAGAGAGGUAGUGACAAGAAAUAACAAUACAAGGCAGUUAAAAUGCUUUGUAAUUGGAAUGAUAGAAAUUUAAACACUUUUUAAAGUAUCAAUUGGAGGGCAAGUCUGGUGCCAGCAGCCGCGGUAAUUCCAGCUCCAAUAGCGUAUAUUAAAAUUGUUGCAGUUAAAAAGCUCGUAGUUGAAUUUCUGUUAAAAAUAACUGGUCUGCUUUUAAUAAAAGUGGUAUCUUGGUGUGUUUUUAGCAAUAAUGUCCUUUGAAAUGUUUUUUACUUUAUUGUAAUAAAUAAUAUUCAGGAUUUUUACUUUGAGAAAAUUAGAGUGUUUCUAGCAGGCUAACGCUUUGAAUACUGCAGCAUGGAAUAAUAAGAUAGGAUUUUAGUUCUACAUUAUUGGUUUUAAGAACUAAAUUAAUGAUUGAUAGGGACAGUUGGGGGCAUUUGUAUUUAACUGUCAGAGGUGAAAUUCUUAGAUUUGUUAAAGACAAACUACUGCGAAAGCAUUUGCCAAAGAUGUUUUCAUUAAUCAAGAAC